UGGGGAAUAUUGGACAAUGGGCGCAAGCCUGAUCCAGCCAUGCCGCGUGAGUGAUGAAGGCCCUAGGGUUGUAAAGCUCUUUCACCGGUGAAGAUAAUGACGGUAACCGGAGAAGAAGCCCCGGCUAACUUCGUGCCAGCAGCCGCGGUAAUACGAAGGGGGCUAGCGUUGUUCGGAUUUACUGGGCGUACAGCGCACGUAGGCGGACUUUUAAGUCAGGGGUGAAAUCCCGGGGCUCAACCCCGGAACUGCCUUUGAUAAUGAAAGACUUGAGUAUGGUAGAGGUGAGUGGAAUUCCGAGUGUGGAGGUGAAAUUCGUAGAUAUUCGGAGGAACACCAGUGGCGAAGGCGGCUCACUGGACCAUUACUGACGCUGAGGUGCGAAAGCGUGGGGAGCAAACAGG
rnacentral:rRNA from 1 species